AUCAGCUGCCUUUGCUUGAGCAAAAAAAGACUUCAACUACCAGGGAGCAAAGUCCACGCAGAAAUGUAGUCCUUCUAAAGAACUACAGUACGUAUUCUUCUCUUUUCGUGUCAACAACCAGAAGUGGUCUAACAACUAUAGUCUACAAUCAAGUAAUAACGAGGAGCUAUUUGGCCAGUGUUUGUGUUGGUCUGAGGUGGUGAUCAGCGUCAUGGAGAUGGUUAUGAACAUCCUGAUGAUACCAGUACCAGGUGGAGUAUCUGUUCCCCUGUUCAUGAUCUUCCUGGCUCUGCUCUACUGGUAUGCUACAUUCCCCUAUUCAGCCCUGGCUCGAUGUGGAAUCAGGCACCCCAAACCGUCCCCGUUCUUUGGGAACAUGUUUCUAUUUCGUCAGGGCUUGUUCACCUGGACCUGAUUCACAAGUAUGGGAGAGUAAUGUGGAUACUAUCUAGGCCGGAGGCCCGUGGUGGUAGCUGACCCUGACAUGCUCAGACAGAUCAUGGUAAAGGACUUCAGCACCUUCCCUAACAGAAUGAUUCUCCCUCCAUUUCACUCUGUAGACGAUCCGGGCUGCCACUAAGCCCAUGAGUGACUGUCUGCUGAUGCUGAGGAACGAGCACUGGAAGAGAGUACGCAGCAUCCUCACCCCCUCCUUCAGCGCAACCAAGAUGAAAGAGGCAAGACAAGAUGACCCCUUUCUUCACCCCUCUCCUCUCCUUCUCUCUUCACCCCUCUCCUCUCCUUAUUUCUUCCCCCCUUUCCUCCUUCUUUCUUCACCCCUCUCCUCUC